UUAGGCUGAUGCGGAGACAACAAAGUGUACGUGCAGAUGACGCUGCGGCCACUGAACCCGGAUUUCACAUAGAAGCCUCCUUCUCAGGAGCUAAUUGCACAGGAUAUCUGUGCUUAAUUCUCUUUGCUUCAUGUUGGGGUGUUGCGCUUUUACUCCCAAAGUACCGAGCUGGGUGAUGAAGCACUUAAGGCACCAGAACCAUUAAAGAGCACUUGGGAGAUAUCUGCAAACAAAUGAUUGAUGGUGAUGUUUCGAUGUGGUGAUUCUCGCUGGGUAUUAUUGAUUCUAUCAUUCAAGAAAUCAAGGUA